ACAUCCCAUCCAGGGUGUAUUCCAGUUUUCCAUGACCCUGACCAGUUUAAAGCAGUUGAAUGGAUAAAAACAUUGAACUACUGUAUGUUACUGUUAGUAGCCUGCAUGUUUUUGUGUGGCUGUAUAAGAGUGUUUGAAUAACACACAGAAGCUAUUAUUUGGGAAAGCAAUAAAGCUCACAGCACUAUCAGGGUCGCCUUGUCACGUGACCUAAUGACAUCGCCCCAGAUCAGUCUGAACCAGAAUCUGCUGGCCGCCAUUACAGUUUUCUCUCGCUUGGAAAAGGUAACUUUGUGUACUGCAAAAGAAAGGUCAUUUACACAAGUCUUCCCAUGAAUGUGGAAAUGCAAAGACUGUGGUACCUCAGUUCUGCAUAUCUGAGCAUUCCUAUCCAUGCAUCUACUUGAAUUGGCACUUGCAAGACUUGGAAUGGACUUCUGACUCAUGUAUCAAAAUGUCAUCACCGACAGAAUCCAAAGACCAUAAUUCACAUGAUGCCCUUUUUAUUUUUCUUCUUUAAGUGUUUUUGUUGUGCACUACACUUUUUUUAUGUUUCUGGAUUUAAAAUGCACUUUGUGUUUAGUUUACUUUGUUUUAUUCAUGUUAUAGUUAUGUUAUUUUGUUUUUCUAUUUGAUCAUUGUUUUUCCAAUUUGAAUUUCAUAGAACAAUACAAAGAAAUGUAUAUUUUAAAAUACAUAAUAAAUGUGUAUUUGGAGGAGAACUUAACUGUCUAUU